AACGCACCUUGCGCUCCCUGGUAUUCCGGGGAGCAUGCCUGUUUGAGUGUCGUGAAAUCAUCAUGGUCAUGAUCUUUAAUUAAUCAUGGCUUGGUUUUGGAGGUUAUGUUGGCUUUUUAUUAAGUUGACUCCUCUUAAAUACAUUAGCUCAGUGUUUAAUGCUUAGAGCGGUUCACGGUGUGAUAAUUAUCUACGCUGUGGUGCGCUUGCUUCUGUGGAGACGCGCUUUCAAACCGUCCGAAAGGACAACUUUCAUCGAACUUUGACCUCAAAUCAGGUGGGACUACCCGCUGAACUUAA
rnacentral:rRNA from 1 species